GCGGAGAUGCCGGAGCGGUCAAACGGACGCGAUUAAGGCUCGCGUGGCUUAGUGCCUUCGAAGGUUCGAAUCCUUCUCUCCGCA
rnacentral:tRNA from 1 species